rnacentral:lncRNA from 1 species
GCCAUGAAAAAGGAUAACCUAAUCUACUACAACAUUGACCUUUCUAUUGAUAUAUGCCAGGAAUAUAUCAAAGAGUUCUUGAAAUAACAUAGCAAUAUCCUUCGGAAGCGGAUAAGCAAUGCCUAGAUCCAAAACUUUCGUUUGCUAAAACUUCACCACCAAACACAGUCCGGACAGCAACUUGCCGACCGGAGCGAAUGCCUGAGAUGGUCUUAUCGC